GCUGAUGUGGCUCAGGGGUAGAGCGUUUCCUUGGUAAGGAAGAGGUCGCGGGUUCAAUUCCCGCCAUCAGCU
rnacentral:tRNA from 1 species